rnacentral:misc_RNA from 1 species
GAUGAAGAACGCAGCGAAAUGCGAUAAGUAAUGUGAAUUGCAGAAUUCAGUGAAUCAUCGAAUCUUUGAACGCACAUUGCGCCCGCCAGUAUUCUGGCGGGCAUGCCUGUUCGAGCGUCAUUUCAACCAUCAAGCCCCCGGCUUGUGUUGGGGACCUGCGGCUGCCGCAGGCCCUGAAAACCAGUGGCGGGCUCGCUAGUCACUCCGAGCGUAGUAAUACAUCUCGCUCAGGGCGUGCUGCGGGUUCCGGCCGUUAAAAAGCCUUAUUUACCCAAGGUUGACCUCGGAUCAGGUAGGAAGACCCGCUGACCUUAAGCAUAUCAAUAAGCGGAGGA